GAGAGAGAGUGUGAAUGUGGCUCAGAGAGGGGCACAGCACCUGCUGGCUUCAUCCCUGCACACUGCAAACUACAUUCUUCCUCUGCCAGUGAUGGACUGUUUAAGAGGACAAAAAAGGAAUAAAGAAGGCCUGAACAAAGAAUAGUGAAAAAGCUCUUUGAGGAAUGAGGAUUUUCCUGCAUUGAUUUGAGUCCCAGUGCUUCUCUGACAUGUUUGGAUUGCCUGCUCUUUUCUUCCCUGUAAAUCAACUAAUUUUCUGUGCUGGGAGUAGAUGUGAAAGUUUAUGUCAAUUUUGGCAGUUAUAAUCUAACAGAUUAAACAAAAUGUACAAAACUUUCCAAUCUGGAGGUUGAUAAAGUAAGAUUCUUUGAGAAUAAUCAGCAGCCGCCCACUGCCUGCAAGGAUCAACUGGAGUGCUAUGGUUGAAAGGAAGGGGACACAAUAGACACCCCGCUACCUCAACCCUCUCUUUUAUCCUCUCCAUCUAACACACAUGGGCACACUGCCAACUCGGAAUCUUAAGAACUCUCAUUCAAAGAAACCCCCUAAAAUAAGGACUUGUUAAAAGCCAGGACACAUUCUCUCUCCCAGUCCUUGUGCUUUUCCCCUUUCAUUUCCCCGUGUGAAGAGGGAUUUUUGCUUGAUUAUUCUCCAUCAUGGCAACUGGGGUUCCUAAAAUUGCCAUUCCAGCAGCAUUUCGUCAGAUUUGUGAAUUUUAUCAGGCUGAGGGGAUGCCAUAGCCUACUCGCUCCAGUGAGGACACAGCCAGAAGAUGAGGAAAUGGAGUCAGAAGGGCUGCACAGAAGACAUUGCACUAAUG
rnacentral:lncRNA from 1 species